GUCAACGUCAUUAUGCGUGUUUUGGUUUAUUUACGAACAUAUUAUGCUUGCAAAAACGUUAGUUUUAAGCAGUUCGUUUGCGGUUUUGAAUGCAGUAUUGCAUCGCUAUGGUGAGAUAGACGAUCAUCACAAAAAUUGGAAGAAAUUACUGCGCUGCCCAAUGUCAUCUUUUGGGGUCAAAAGAGACAUGCAGCCAAAUAAAAAACAUUUCCGGAGCACCAUAUCAAUACCUUUGCGGCGAAAGAUGAAAUAGGUUCGGAGCUGACUAGUGCUCGUUGGGCAAUCCCCUCACGAACACCCCACAUACCGCAGCACCAUGGAAGAGCCACAACGGGAUUCCUCUUCCAUCGUCAGCGGAUGCUUGUGCCGUUUUGAAUUACUGGAUUGAUUCUCAAGGAUUCCUACGAAGUCGCGCCACCGACUCAACGUUGACUUUCCAAUUCUCGCAGGCCGUGACGUGCAAAGUCAAAGUUUAAGCCACUCGAAUUAAAAGUCAAGUUGGUCAGUGCUUUUUCAACUUUCA